GACGAACGCUGGCGGCGCGCUUAACACAUGCAAGUCGAGCGAAGCGGCGGACGGGUGAGUAACACGUGAGUAACCUGCCUUAGACAUUUGGAUAGCCUCGGGAAACCGGGAUUAAUACCAAAUGGUCUAAGAUGGACUCGCGUCCCAUUAGCUAGUUGUGAGGGAAAGGCCCACCAAGGCGACGGUAGGUAGCCGGCCUGAGAGGGGGAACGUCCACAUUGAAACUGAGAAACGGUCCAAACUCUACGGGAGGCAGCAGUGGGGAAUAUUGCACAAUGGAGUGAACUCUGAUGCGGCGACGCCGCGUGAACGAAGAAGGCUUUCGAGUCGUAAAGUGCUUUUAUAUGGGAAGCGGUACCAUAAGAAAAAGCCCCGGCUAACUACGUGCCAGCAGCCGCGGUAAUUC
rnacentral:rRNA from 1 species